rnacentral:rRNA from 1 species
AACCUACGGGAGGCAGCAGUGGGGAAUAUUGCACAAUGGGGGGAACCCUGAUGCAGCGACGCCGCGUGAAGGAAGAAGUAUUUCGGUAUGUAAACUUCUAUCAGCAGGGAAGAAAAAGGACGGUACCUGACUAAGAAGCCCCGGCUAACUACGUGCCAGCAGCCGCGGUAAUACGUAGGGGGCAAGCGUUAUCCGGAUUUACUGGGUGUAAAGGGAGCGUAGACGGCGCGGCAAAUCUGAAGUGAAGGGCAGGGGCUUAACCCCUGAACUGCUUUGGAAACUG